GAUGAACGCUGGCGGCGUGCCUAAUACAUGCAAGUAGAACGCUGAAGGAAGGAGCUUGCUCUUUCCGGAUGAGUUGCGAACGGGUGAGUAACGCGUAGGUCACCUGCCUGGUAGCGGGGGAUAACUAUUGGAAACGAUAGCUAAUACCGCAUAACCGUAGAUGUUGCAUGAUGUCUACUUAAAAGGUGCCAUUUCACCACUACCAGCUGGACCUGCGUUGUAUUAGCUAGUUGGUGAGGUAACGGCUCACCAAGGCGACGAUGCAUAGCCGACCUGAGAGGGUGAUCGGCCACACUGGGACUGAGACACGGCCCAGACGCCUACGGGAGGCAGCAGGAGGGAAUCGUCGGCAAUGGACGGAAGUCUGACCGAGCAACGCCGCGGGAGGGAAGAAGGUUUUCGGAUCGGAAAGCUCGGUUGUAAGAGAAGAACGAGUGUGAGAGUGGAAAGUUCACACUGUGACGGUAACUGACCAGAAAGGGACGGCUAACUACGUG
rnacentral:rRNA from 1 species